rnacentral:rRNA from 1 species
AGAGUUUGAUCCUGGCUCAGGACGAACGCUGGCGGCGUGCCUAAUACAUGCAAGUGGGACGCAAGGAAACACACUGUGCUUGCACACCGUGUUUUCUUGAGUCGCGAACGGGUGAGUAACGCGUAGGUAACCUGCCUAUUAGCGGGGGAUAACUAUUGGAAACGAUAGCUAAUACCGCAUAAUAUUAAUUAUUGCAUGAUAAUUGAUUGAUAGAUGCAAGCGCAUCACUAGUAGAUGGACCUGCGUUGUAUUAGCUAGUUGGUUAGGUAAGAGCUUACCAAGGCGACGAUACAUAGCCGACCUGAGAGGGUGAUCGGCCACACUGGGACUGAGACACGGCCCAGACUCCUACGGGAGGCAGCAGUAGGGAAUCUUCGGCAAUGGACGAAAGUCUGACCGAGCACGCCGCGUGAGUGAAGAAGGUUUUCGGAUCGUAAAGCUCUGUUGUAAGUCAAGAACGUGUGUGAGAGUGGAAAGUUCCACACAGUGACGGUAGCUUACCAGAAAGGGACGGCUAACUACGUGCCAGCAGCCGCGGUAAUACGUAGGUCCCGAGCGUUGUCCGGAUUUAUUGGGCGUAAAGGGAGCGCAGGCGGUCAGGAAAGUCUGGAGUAAAAGGCUAUGGCUCAACCAUAGUGUGCUCUGGAAACUGUCUGACUUGAGUGCAGAAGGGGAGAGUGGAAUUCCAUGUGUAGCGGUGAAAUGCGUAGAUAUAUGGAGGAACACCAGUGGCGAAAGCGGCUCUCUGGUCUGUCACUGACGCUGAGGCUCGAAAGCGUGGGUAGCGAACAGGAUUAGAUACCCUGGUAGUCCACGCCGUAAACGAUGAGUGCUAGGUGUUAGGCCCUUUCCGGGGCUUAGUGCCGGAGCUAACGCAAUAAGCACUCCGCCUGGGGAGUACGACCGCAAGGUUGAAACUCAAAGGAAUUGACGGGGGCCCGCACAAGCGGUGGAGCAUGUGGUUUAAUUCGAAGCAACGCGAAGAACCUUACCAGGUCUUGACAUCCCGAUGCUAUUCUUAGAGAUAGGAAGUUACUUCGGUACAUCGGAGACAGGUGGUGCAUGGUUGUCGUCAGCU